rnacentral:rRNA from 1 species
AGGGAUCAUUAUAGAGUUUUCUAAACUCCCAACCCAUGUGAACUUACCUUUUGUUGCCUCGGCAGAAGUUAUAGGUCUUCUUAUAGCUGCUGCCGGUGGACCAUUAAACUCUUGUUAUUUUAUGUAAUCUGAGCGUCUUAUUUUAAUAAGUCAAAACUUUCAACAACGGAUCUCUUGGUUCUGGCAUCGAUGAAGAACGCAGCGAAAUGCGAUAAGUAAUGUGAAUUGCAGAAUUCAGUGAAUCAUCGAAUCUUUGAACGCACAUUGCGCCCAUUAGUAUUCUAGUGGGCAUGCCUGUUCGAGCGUCAUUUCAACCCUUAAGCCUAGCUUAGUGUUGGGAAUCUACUUCUCUUAGGAGUUGUAGUUCCUGAAAUACAACGGCGGAUUUGUAGUAUCCUCUGAGCGUAGUAAUUUUUUUCUCGCUUUUGUUAGGUGCUAUAACUCCCAGCCGCUAAACCCCCAAUUUUUUGUGGUUGACCUCGGAUCAGGUAGGAAUACCCGCUGAACUUAAGCAUAUCAAUAAGCGGAGGAAAAGAAACCAACAGGGAUUGCCUUAGUAACGGCGAGUGAAGCGGCAACAGCUCAAAUUUGAAAUCUGGCCCUUGGGUCCGAAUUGUAAUUUGUAGAGGAUGAUUAUGGUGCGGUAUCUUCCGAGUUCCUUGGAACAGGACGCCUUAGAGGGUGAGAGCCCCGUACGGUUGAAUGCCUAGCCUCUGUAAAUCUCCCUCGACGAGUCGAGUAGUUUGGGAAUGCUGCUCUAAAUGGGAGGUAAAUUUCUUCUAAAGCUAAAUAUUGGCCAGAGACCGAUAGCGCACAAGUAGAGUGAUCGAAAGAUGAAAAGCACUUUGAAAAGAGGGUUAAAUAGCACGUGAAAUUGUUGAAAGGGAAGGAUUUGUGACCAGACUUUUUCUGGGCGGAUCAUCCGGGGUUCUCUCCGGUGCACUUCGCCCAGUAAAGGCCAGCAUCGGUUUUCGGCGUGGGAUAAAAGCAGUAGGAAUGUGGCUCUCUACGGGGAGUGUUAUAGCCUAUUGUAUAAUACCGCGCUGGGGACCGAGGU